rnacentral:rRNA from 1 species
CCUACGGGUGGCAGCAGUGAGGAAUAUUGGUCAAUGGACGAGAGUCUGAACCAGCCAAGUAGCGUGAAGGAUGACUGCCCUAUGGGUUGUAAACUUCUUUUAUAUGGGAAUAAAACGUUCCACGUGUGGGAUUUUGUAUGUACCAUAUGAAUAAGGAUCGGCUAACUCCGUGCCAGCAGCCGCGGUAAUACGGAGGAUCCGAGCGUUAUCCGGAUUUAUUGGGUUUAAAGGGAGCGUAGGUGGAUUGUUAAGUCAGUUGUGAAAGUUUGCGGCGCAACCGUAAAAUUGCAGUUGAAACUGGCAGUCUUGAGUACAGUAGAGGUGGGCGGAAGUCGUGGUGUAGCGGUGAAAUGCUUAGAUAUCACGAAGAACUCCGAUUGCGAAGGCAGUUCACUGGACUGCAACUGACACUGAGGCUCGAAAGUGUGGGUAUCAAACAGGAUUAGAUACCCGAGUAGUC